GCAGAGCCCGCUUCGCGGUCCUUCCUCCUGCGCGAACCACCCGGCCCCGGGGCGAGAGACGCGUCUCUCUGGCCCCAGAUCCGUGGAGUCGUCUCUCUCCAGAGGACCGGGCGCUGGCCCUCUCCUCCACCUGAGAAGGACAAGGGAGCAGGUAAGGGCGCGGAGGGGCGGGUGGGGGCGGCGCCAGCCCUCAGGGAACGGGGCGGGAGCGCGGCAACCACCCGAGUCACGUCGGGGGUGGGGUGAGCGCUAGGACAGAAGACCCGGGUGCCGCGGCGGGGCGCGCUGCCGGGGCACCGAGCGCGCUCCGCCGUGGAGCCGGUCCCCCACAGGCAUCGGGUCCCGGCCCCUCCACCGCUGCCGCCUGCGGGGACUGGUGCGUCCUCUGCGACAGCGCGGACAGCGCGGCGCCCCUCGUCUCCUCCCGGGGCGCGCUCCCGGAGCCGACGACCGGACUCCACGGCCAUCGCGACUCUUCCGGGAGCUUCUCGCCGCUCCGCGGCGGGACCGAAGCCCAGGCGGGCCGAGGGUGGCCUGUCCCCGGAGGCACAGAUGCGGACGCGGCGAGGCGCCGGGCAGCCCGUGAGGUGGUGAGGUACGCGCCUCCCUUUCCUCGCGGUUUCUACACUGCCCUGCGCAUGUCACGGGACGCCCCUGGGGUUGAUGGGGACACAUGUGCAGCGGUGGCCCCGAAGACGCCCUUCUCAGUUGUGGGGAGGGGACUCCCCAGCCACCACCCUGCCUCCAGCCACCAUAGAUCCUACCCAAUCCGACCAGGUUUGGACCUGGGACCCUUGGGAGACAAACUGCCCUGCGGCCCUCACGGCCUGGUAUGA
rnacentral:lncRNA from 1 species